rnacentral:rRNA from 1 species
AUACAGAGGGUGCGAGCGUUAAUCGGAAUUACUGGGCGUAAAGCGCGCGUAGGCGGCUGAUUAAGUCAGAUGUGAAAUCCCAGGGCUCAACCUUGGAACUGCAUCUGAUACUGGUCAGCUAGAGUUUGGGAGAGGGAAGUAGAAUUUCAGGUGUAGCGGUGAAAUGCAUAGAUAUCUGAAGGAAUACCAGUGGCGAAGGCGGCUUCCUGGCCUAAAACUGACGCUGAGGUGCGAAAGCGUGGGUAGCAAACGGGAUUAGAAACCCCAGUAGUCC